rnacentral:misc_RNA from 1 species
ACACACACACACACACACAAGGAAGUGAAACUUCCCCAAAAGACCAACCACCGACUAAACCUUCAUUCGAAAACCACAGGCCUCAAAAAAAUUAAGCAAAAAAUCACAAAACCUCACCGCCUCUUACUUUUUUCUUUCCAAAAGAAUGAUAAUAAUAUUAAUUAAAAAAACAAAAAAAGACAACUGUUAUUUUCUGCUAACUAACAAGCCACACCUGACCGUAGCUUCCGCGGAACAG